rnacentral:rRNA from 1 species
UACGUAGAAGACUAGUGUUAUUCAUCUUUAAUAGGUUUAAAGCGUACCUAGACGGUAAAUCAAGCCCUGUUUUACAGACGGAACUAAUUUGCUAGAGUUACUUGUGAGGGGGCAUUAAAGUACUAAUGGUGUAGAGAUAAAAUUUUGUCAUACCUUUCUAAAUAUAGAACAAUGGCACUGGUAUAGGCGAAAGCAUCCCCUUAUGUGCUAACUGACGUUGAAGGACGAAGGCUUUGUGUAGCGAACAGG